CUCAAAACGCAACACACAACACAAUGAGAGCACUAUUUUUUUUCCUUUUAGAAUCCCCCUUCGUGAUUAAGUAGGAGGAUUGGAGAAAAUUUAGGAAGAAAAUAAAACUCUUUCUUUUUUUCUUUCUUCGAAUUUCCAUCUUCACUUUCUUCCAACCUUCACUCUUGUCCUCCACCUACAUUCCACGCUGAAACUCCUCCCACAACCCCACCAUACAAACAACUCAUCUUCAUUAGAACCUCCUCCUUCAUCUUACAACAACAACAAACCUCCGACAAACCUCUUUCCCUCACUGAACCCACCGAUUUUCUCCCUCAGGACCAACAUCAUCAUCAACAUAUAACUUCUCCAACUCACCCUCAAAAAAUUCAUGAACUUAAACUCUUCCUUCUUCAUGACUCCAACUGAAACACCAUCUUGAAACAAUGACACAACCAUGUGAAACCAUCAUUCCCACCUUCCUAAUGAAAACGAGUUUCAGACGAAAACGAACCUUAUAAAACUCGUCACACACCCUCACCUUCUUCAACAACUUUCACCAUACAACAACAACCCCAUACUCCUCCAAACUCCACCAUAAAAUGCCGACAACCAUUCCAAUCUCCUUCCACACCAACUUACCACCACGAAAAAUCAUCCACCACCUUGCUUCACCAUUACCGACAACUCAGUUUCUGCUGCAAAUUUCUGCUACAACCUAAACCACCACCAAACGACGAGCUCACCACCCUCAAGCGAGCAACAACACCAUAUAUGUUUCUCUUUUCAUCUCUGCAUUGCCGUCGUGUACCACCUCGGAGGUAGUUCAUUGUUCUGUUCAAGACGUCCAUUGUAACGUCCGGGUUGCUGUAUGCUUGUUUGGCUAUAGCACAAUGGUGAUUUAGCAAGGGAUAUCAAGGUUAGCAAGGAAUGAUGGCACCAUGGAUCAUGAAGGAAUUUUGGAUAACUUUAAGACUUGGAGGACCAUAGAUGAGAGACCUUGAGGAUGAAUAGAAAAGUAGGAUUAGGUAGUUUGACUUUGGUCAACUCUAAGUCAUAAGUGACUUUUUUUUUUGUGUAAUUUUGGUACUCUCUCUUGUAAUGCAAUUUUAUGACUUUGUAAUGAAAAAUGGUCCUAUUGAAUGUAA